rnacentral:rRNA from 1 species
GAUGAACGCUGGCGGCGUGCUUAUCACAUGCAAGUCGAACGGAAAGGCUCCUGCUUGCAGGGGUACUCGAGUGGCGAACGGGUGAGUAACACGUGGGUGAUCUGCCCUGCACUUCGGGAUAAGCCUGGGAAACUGGGUCUAAUACCGGAUAGGACGAUGGUUUGGAUGCCAUUGUGGAAAGUUUUUUCGGUGUGGGAUGAGCUCGCGGCCUAUCAGCUUGUUGGUGGGGUAAUGGCCUACCAAGGCGUCGACGGGUAGCCGGCCUGAGAGGGUGUACGGCCACAUUGGGACUGAGGUACGGACCAGACUCCUACGGGAGGCAGCAGGGGGAAAUAUUGCACAGUGAGCGCGAGCCUGAGGCGGCGGCGCCGCGUGGGGGAUGACGGCCUUCGGGUUGUGAACUCCUUUCGCUGGAGACGAAGCGCAAGUGACGGUACCUGGAGAAGAAGCACCGGCUAACUACGUG